CGUUGGUCUCGCGCGGCACCUCGCGCUUGCGGCUGCGCAGGCCGCCGAGCGAGGCAAUGUGCUCGUAGCCGAUCGAAGCAGCCGCGAGCGA
rnacentral:tRNA from 2 species